rnacentral:rRNA from 1 species
GAUGAACGCUGACAGAAUGCUUAACACAUGCAAGUCAACUUGAAUUUGGGUUUUUAACUUAGGUUUGGGUGGCGGACGGGUGAGUAACGCGUAAAGAACUUGCCUCACAGCUAGGGACAACAUUUGGAAACGAAUGCUAAUACCUAAUAUUAUGAUAAUAGGGCAUCCUAUAAUUAUGAAAGCUAUAAGCGCUGUGAGAGAGCUUUGCGUCCCAUUAGCUAGUUGGAGAGGUAACGGCUCACCAAGGCGAUGAUGGGUAGCCGGCCUGAGAGGGUGAUCGGCCACAAGGGGACUGAGACACGGCCCUUACUCCUACGGGAGGCAGCAGUGGGGAAUAUUGGGCAAUGGACCGAGAGUCUGAUCCAGCAAUUCUGUGUGCACGAUGAAGUUUUUCGGAAUGUAAAGUGCUUUCAGUUGGGAAGAAACAAAUGACGGUACCAACAGAAGAAGUGACGGCUAAAUACGUG